AGGCUUAACACAUGCAAGUCGAGCGGGCGUAGCAAUACGUCAGCGGCAGACGGGUGAGUAACGCGUGGGAACAUACCUUUUGGUUCGGAACAACACAGGGAAACUUGUGCUAAUACCGGAUAAGCCCUUACGGGGAAAGAUUUAUCGCCGAAAGAUCGGCCCGCGUCUGAUUAGCUAGUUGGUAGGGUAAUGGCCUACCAAGGCGACGAUCAGUAGCUGGUCUGAGAGGAUGAUCAGCCACAUUGGGACUGAGACACGGCCCAA
rnacentral:rRNA from 1 species